rnacentral:lncRNA from 1 species
CUAGGCAUCACUGGUGAGUCUUGUGUGGACGAGGCGCGUUUUUAGCGUAUUAAAUUUUAAACCUGUUGAUUUUUGUUAUUCAUUAAUCAUGUGUUUCUUUGUCUAAUACGUUUUCCUAUUUAUUUGUAUUGUAGUCCUGUAAUAUUAUGUUGUCAUUUCUAUGUUAUAUUUAACAUUGCCAUUAAAGUGCGAGGUUUGGCAUGCCACAAAACCAGGUUCAACCCACCAUUUUUACCUUUAAAAAUGUCCUGUACCAAGUCAGGAAUAUGGCCAUUGUUAUAUUAUAGUUCGUUUCUGUGUGUGCUACAAUUUAACGUUGCGUCGUUUGUUUUCUCUUAUUUUUGAGUGUAAAUUGACAUUGCGAUAAGACGUGUCACGGUACUUGUCUAUCCCAAAUUCAUGUAUUUGGUUUUGAUGUUAUAUUUGUUAUUCUCGUGGGAUUUUGUCUGAUGCUUGGUCCGUUUCUGUGUGUGUUAGUUACAUUGUAGUGUUGUGUCGUUGUUUCUCCCUUUAUAUUUAUGCGUUUCCCUCAGUUUUAGUUUGUUACCCCGAUUUUGUUUUUGUCCAUGGAUUUAUGAGUUUGAACAGCGGUAUACUACUGUUGCCUUUAUUCUUCAUCAUCGACUCAAAUAGUAACAAAAGUAUAUUAUUGGAAACAACUUUAUAACAAGCAUCAUUGUCUCUUUUUAAUCAUUUAGAAACC